CGGACGGGUGAGUAACGCGUGAGGAUCUGCCCUUAGGACGGGGACAACAGCUGGAAACGGCUGCUAAUACCCGAUGUGCCGAGAGGUGAAACUAUUUGGCCUGAGGAUGAGCUCGCGUCUGAUUAGCUAGUUGGAGUGGUAACGGCACACCAAGGCGACGAUCAGUAGCUGGUCUGAGAGGAUGAUCAGCCACACUGGGACUGAGACACGGCCCAGACUCCUACGGGAGGCAGCAGUGGGGAAUUUUCCGCAAUGGGCGAAAGCCUGACGGAGCAAGACCGCGUGCGGGAGGAAGGUCUAUUGAUUGUAAACCGCUUUUGAUAGGGAAGAAGAUCUGACGGUACCUAUCGAAUCAGCAUCGGCUAACUCCGUGCCAGCAGCCGCGGUAAUACGGGGGAUGCAAGCGUUAUCCGGAAUUAUUGGGCGUAAAGCGUCCGUAGGUGGUUUCAAAAGUCUGUUGUCAAAUCGCGAGGCUUAACCUCGUACAGGCAGUGGAAACUAUGAGACUAGAGUGCGGUAGGGGUAGAGGGAAUUUCCAGUGUAGCGGUGAAAUGCGUAGAUAUUGGAAAGAACACCGGUGGCGAAGGCGCUCUACUGGGCCUGCACUGACACUGAGGGACGAAAGCUAGGGGAGCGAAAGGGAUUAGAUACCCCUGUAGUC
rnacentral:rRNA from 1 species